rnacentral:rRNA from 1 species
UACGUAGGGUGCAAGCGUUGUCCGGAAUCACUGGGCGUAAAGGGCGCGUAGGCGGCUCAUGAAGGCUGUGGUGAAAGUCCGGGGCUCAACCUCGGAUCGGCCGUGGCGACUCGUGGGCUGGAGCACUGUAGAGGCGGGUGGAAUUCCGGGUGUAGCGGUGGAAUGCGUAGAGAUCCGGAAGAACACCAGUGGCGAAGGCGGCCCGCUGGGCAGUGGCUGACGCUGAAGCGCGACAGCGUGGGAGCAACAGG